UACGGAGGGUGCAAGCGUUAUCCGGAUUCACUGGGCUUAAAGGGUGCGUAGGUGGGCAGGUAAGUCAGUGGUGAAAUCUUUGGGCUUAACCCGAAAACUGCCAUUGAUACUAUUUGUCUUGAAUAUUGUGGAGGUCAGCGGAAUAUGUCAUGUAGCGGUGAAAUGCUUAGAUAUGACAUAGAACACCAAUUGCGAAGGCAGCUGGCUACGCAUAUAUUGACACUGAUGCACGAAAGCGUGGGGAGCAAACAGG
rnacentral:rRNA from 1 species